ensembl:snoRNA
GCACUGCCUUGGAAGCUCUGCGGUGCCUGGACCAUGGCCUGAGGGGCCAGUGGCAGUGCCAGAGCAGGCCCAGCUUGUUUAAAUCCGGGGCUGCUUAGAUGGCACCUAAGCGCAUCCUUCAGCAGCAAGCGACAUUC